GGGGGUGUUUGAGAUUCGCCCGUUGUGCAGGAAAUUUGCCAAGCGCGUCGCAGUCGCCCGAGUCUGCGUAAAAACGGGCAAAAAAAAUAAACGCUGAAAAUAAUUCAGUUUCCAACUACAAGUUGGCUUACGCCGCUUAAUUUUCGCGGCUCGUCGCCCCUGUUCCCCGCACGGCAGGCAAGCGGCGCUAUUUAGCGCGGGCAAGAGGACAGGCGAAAUUGCGCGUCGGCUGUUCGCUUAAAAGCGCAUUACCUUGUCGAUAAGUCUGUUUGCGGACUUGCGGCAGGGGAAAUCAAACCGCAAACUACACGCGUAGAAAGGCAUUUGGCCGUACGGCGGUACAGGGGUGCAAGUCCCCUCACCUCCACCA
rnacentral:tmRNA from 2 species